rnacentral:rRNA from 1 species
ACCCGCUGAACUUAAGCAUAUCAAUAAGCGGAGGAAAAGAAACCAACAGGGAUUACCUCAGUAACGGCGAGUGAAGCGGUAACAGCUCAAAUUUGAAAUCUGGCCCCCUCGGGGCCCGAGUUGUAAUUUGUAGAAGAUGCUUUGGCUGUGGCCCCGGCCUAAGUUCCUUGGAACAGGACGUCGUAGAGGGUGAGAAUCCCGUAUGCGGCUGGUGCCCUCUCCCGUGUAAAGCUCUUUCGACGAGUCGAGUUGUUUGGGAAUGCAGCUCUAAAUGGGAGGUAAAUUUCUUCUAAAGCUAAAUAUUGGCCAGAGACCGAUAGCGCACAAGUAGAGUGAUCGAAAGAUGAAAAGCACUUUGGAAAGAGAGUUAAACAGUACGUGAAAUUGUUGAAAGGGAAGCGCUGGCAACCAGACUUGGGCGCUGCUGAUCCGCGGGGGUUCUCCCCCGGGCACUCUUCUGCGCGCAGGCCAGCAUCGGUUUGGGUGGCUGGAGAAAGGCUGGUGGAAUGUACCUGCCCUCGGGCAGUGUUAUAGCCACCGGUGGCAUGCAGCCCACCCGGACCGAGGACCGCGCUUCUGCUAGGAUGCUGGCGUAAUGGUUGUCAGCGACCCGUCUUGAAACACGGACCAAGG